GUACCCGCUGAACUUAAGCAUAUCAAUAAGCGGAGGAAAAGAAAAUAACAAUGAUUCCCCUAGUAACGGCGAGUGAAGCGGGAAAAGCUCAAAUUUGAAAUCUCUAACUUCUGUUAGCGAAUUGUAGUUUAUAGAACCAUUUUCGAUAUCUAGCAAGGUACAAGUCCCUUGGAACAGGGCAUCAUAGAGGGUGACAAUCCCGUAUCUGAUCUUGCCUCGAUGUUAUGUGAUAUGGUCUCAAAGAGUCGGGUAGUUUGGGAAUGCUGCCCUAAAUGGGAGGUAAAUAUCUCCUAAAGCUAAAUAUUGGCGAGAGACCGAUAGCGAACAAGUACCGUGAGGGAAAGAUGAAAAGAACUUUGAAAAGAGAGUUAAAUAGUACGUGAAAUUGUCAAUAGUGAACGGUUUGGAACUAUUGUAUGCAACCAGUGAAUCAAUUGUUCGUAGAGCAGUGCACUUCAUUGGUUGCAGGUCAACAUCAGUUUGAUUUGAGGGAAAAAGCCUUGCGACUUCGGUUAAUGGGUGCUACCUUGGGUUGGACUGAGGAUUGCAGCGCAGCCAUAAGCCCUCGGGCAUUUCUGUGCUUAGGAUGUUGACGAAAUGGUUUCAAGCCACCCGUCUUGAAACACGGACCAAGGAGUCUAACAUAUCUGCGAGUAUUUGGGUGUCAAACUCAUGUGCGUAAUGAAAGUGAAUAAGAUGGGAUCUUCGGUGCACCAUCGACCGGCCUGGAUUUUUUUUGAAAGGACUGAGUUAGAGCAUAUAUGUUAGGACCCGAAAGAUGGUGAACUAAGCCUGAAUAGGGUGAAGUCAGAGGAAACUCUGAUGGAGGCUCGUAGCGGUUCUGACGUGCAAAUCGAUCGUCGAAUUUGGGUUUAGGGGCGAAAGACUAAUCGAACCAUCUAGUAGCUGGUUCCCUCCGAAGUUUCCCUCAGGAU
rnacentral:rRNA from 1 species